GGGUUGUGAGGUUAAGCGACUAAGCGUACACGGUGGAUGCCCCGGCAGUCAGAGGCGAUGAAGGACGUGCUAAUCUGCGAUAAGCGUCGGUAAGGUGAUAUGAACCGUUAUAACCGGCGAUUUCCGAAUGGGGAAACCCAGUGUGUUUCGACACACUAUCAUUAACUGAAUCCAUAGGUUAAUGAGGCGAACCGGGGGAACUGAAACAUCUAAGUACCCCGAGGAAAAGAAAUCAACCGAGAUUCCCCCAGUAGCGGCGAGCGAACGGGGAGCAGCCCAGAGCCUGAAUCAGUGUGUGUGUUAGUGGAAGCGUCUGGAAAGGCGCGCGAUACAGGGUGACAGCCCCGUACACAAAAAUGCACAUACUGUGAGCUCGAUGAGUAGGGCGGGACACGUGGUAUCCUGUCUGAAUAUGGGGGGACCAUCCUCCAAGGCUAAAUACUCCUGACUGACCGAUAGUGAACCAGUACCGUGAGGGAAAGGCGAAAAGAACCCCGGCGAGGGGAGUGAAAAAGAACCUGAAACCGUGUACGUACAAGCAGUGGGAGCCUCUUUUAUGGGGUGACUGCGUACCUUUUGUAUAAUGGGUCAGCGACUUAUAUUCUGUAGCAAGGUUAACCGAAUAGGGGAGCCGAAGGGAAACCGAGUCUUAACUGGGCGUUAAGUUGCAGGGUAUAGACCCGAAACCCGGUGAUCUAGCCAUGGGCAGGUUGAAGGUUGGGUAACACUAACUGGAGGACCGAACCGACUAAUGUUGAAAAAUUAGCGGAUGACUUGUGGCUGGGGGUGAAAGGCCAAUCAAACCGGGAGAUAGCUGGUUCUCCCCGAAAGCUAUUUAGGUAGCGCCUCGUGAAUUCAUCUCCGGGGGUAGAGCACUGUUUCGGCAAGGGGGUCAUCCCGACUUACCAACCCGAUGCAAACUGCGAAUACCGGAGAAUGUUAUCACGGGAGACACACGGCGGGUGCUAACGUCCGUCGUGAAGAGGGAAACAACCCAGACCGCCAGCUAAGGUCCCAAAGUCAUGGUUAAGUGGGAAACGAUGUGGGAAGGCCCAGACAGCCGGGAUGUUGGCUUAGAAGCAGCCAUCAUUUAAAGAAAGCGUAAUAGCUCACUGGUCGAGUCGGCCUGCGCGGAAGAUGUAACGGGGCUAAACCAUGCACCGAAGCUGCGGCAGCGACACUGUGUGUUGUUGGGUAGGGGAGCGUUCUGUAAGCCUGUGAAGGUGUACUGUGAGGUAUGCUGGAGGUAUCAGAAGUGCGAAUGCUGACAUAAGUAACGAUAAAGCGGGUGAAAAGCCCGCUCGCCGGAAGACCAAGGGUUCCUGUCCAACGUUAAUCGGGGCAGGGUGAGUCGACCCCUAAGGCGAGGCCGAAAGGCGUAGUCGAUGGGAAACAGGUUAAUAUUCCUGUACUUGGUGUUACUGCGAAGGGGGGACGGAGAAGGCUAUGUUGGCCGGGCGACGGUUGUCCCGGUUUAAGCGUGUAGGCUGGUUUUCCGGGCAAAUCCGGAAAAUCAAGGCUGAGGCGUGAUGACGAGGCACUACGGUGCUGAAGCAACAAAUGCCCUGCUUCCGGGGAAAAGCCUCUAAGCAUCAGGUAACAUCAAAUCGUACCCCAAACCGACACAGGUGGUCAGGUAGAGAAUACCAAGGCGCUUGAGAGAACUCGGGUGAAGGAACUAGGCAAAAUGGUGCCGUAACUUCGGGAGAAGGCACGCUGAUAUGUAGGUGAAGUCCCUCGCGGAUGGAGCUGAAAUCAGUCGAAGAUACCAGCUGGCUGCAACUGUUUAUUAAAAACACAGCACUGUGCAAACACGAAAGUGGACGUAUACGGUGUGACGCCUGCCCGGUGCCGGAAGGUUAAUUGAUGGGGUCAGCGCAAGCGAAGCUCUUGAUCGAAGCCCCGGUAAACGGCGGCCGUAACUAUAACGGUCCUAAGGUAGCGAAAUUCCUUGUCGGGUAAGUUCCGACCUGCACGAAUGGCGUAAUGAUGGCCGGGCUGUCUCCACCCGAGACUCAGUGAAAUUGAACUCGCUGUGAAGAUGCAGUGUACCCGCGGCAAGACGGAAAGACCCCGUGAACCUUUACUAUAGCUUGACACUGAACAUUGAGCCUUGAUGUGUAGGAUAGGUGGGAGGCUUUGAAGUGUGGACGCCAGUCUGCAUGGAGCCGACCUUGAAAUACCACCCUUUAAUGUUUGAUGUUCUAACGUUGACCCGUGAUCCGGGUUGCGGACAGUGUCUGGUGGGUAGUUUGACUGGGGCGGUCUCCUCCUAAAGAGUAACGGAGGAGCACGAAGGUUGGCUAAUCCUGGUCGGACAUCAGGAGGUUAGUGCAAUGGCAUAAGCCAGCUUGACUGCGAGCGUGACGGCGCGAGCAGGUGCGAAAGCAGGUCAUAGUGAUCCGGUGGUUCUGAAUGGAAGGGCCAUCGCUCAACGGAUAAAAGGUACUCCGGGGAUAACAGGCUGAUACCGCCCAAGAGUUCAUAUCGACGGCGGUGUUUGGCACCUCGAUGUCGGCUCAUCACAUCCUGGGGCUGAAGUAGGUCCCAAGGGUAUGGCUGUUCGCCAUUUAAAGUGGUACGCGAGCUGGGUUUAGAACGUCGUGAGACAGUUCGGUCCCUAUCUGCCGUGGGCGCUGGAGAACUGAGGGGGGCUGCUCCUAGUACGAGAGGACCGGAGUGGACGCAUCACUGGUGUUCGGGUUGUCAUGCCAAUGGCACUGCCCGGUAGCUAAAUGCGGAAGAGAUAAGUGCUGAAAGCAUCUAAGCACGAAACUUGCCCCGAGAUGAGUUCUCCCUGACUCCUUGAGAGUCCUGAAGGAACGUUGAAGACGACGACGUUGAUAGGCCGGGUGUGUAAGCGCAGCGAUGCGUUGAGCUAACCGGUACUAAUGAACCGUGAGGCUUAACCUUACAACGCCGAAGGUGUUU
rnacentral:rRNA from 1 species